GUGCUCACUUGGGCAGCACACAUGCUAAAAUUGGAACAAUACGGAGAAAAUGAGCACGGCCCUGGUGUAAGGAUAACAUGCAAAUUUAUGAAAUGUUCCAUAUAAAA